UUUAUCAUCUUACUACAAUGAAUUCCUUUUGAAACAAAACUUGCCGUGCAAACCUACAACGAUUAUGGAAGGUAGCAAAUCACUGACCAAUUCCCAGUCAAGUUUCCUUACAAGAAGAUCUCACACUCAUGGCCAGAUUGGAAAACGCGUUUUCUCGUGAGCCAUGUCCUUUAUCAUCGAACACUUCUUUAUAAAUUCCAACACUCUAAAUCUACCGACAAGAAAACUCACCCUCUUAUUCGCAUGGUUUCGUCGACCACAACCCAUUUACACUCUCUCAUUACCCGCAACAUUCGUACUGCCGAAGGACUCGCAAUACGCUGGAGAAGGAUCUGCAACCCGUCGGAGCACGUCAACGAUUGUUUCGUCAUCGCUUCGGAUAAUCCUCGAUGUUCCAAACUUUUCCCAAUCCCAUUCGUGUGCUAGAAUUUUUGCAAGGAUUCGCUAACGCAAACUUGUGAACAGGUACGAAGAGAAGAUUGGACACAGGAUGGGCUUUAGUUAACAAAAAAACGGAUUAGCUUAGUGUAGUUAUGAACCAUGGCUUGUGCUUGUAAUUGUGUAUUUGAAUUAAUUGUUUCGUGAAACAUUUGUUAUGAAUUA
rnacentral:lncRNA from 1 species